rnacentral:rRNA from 1 species
CGCGUAGGUGGUAGUGAAAGUCUAUGGUGGAAUCUUAGGGCUUAACCCUAAAACUGCCUUGGAAACUUCAUUACUUGAGUCAGUGAGGGGAGGGUAGAAUUCCUGGUGUAGCGGUGAAAUGCGUAGAUAUCAGGAGGAAGGCCGGUGGCGAAGGCGGCCCUCUGGCGCUGAACUGACGCUGAGGCGCGAAAGCGUGGGUAGCAAACAGGAUUAGAUACCCUGGUAGUCCUAGCCUUAAACGAUGAAUGCUUGGUGUGAUCGGUAUCCAAUCCGAUUGUGCCGUAGUUAACGCGAUAAGCAUUCCGCCUGGGGAGUACGGUCGCAAGGCUGAA